CCUACGGGAGGCAGCAGUGAGGAAUAUUGGUCAAUGGGCGUAAGCCUGAACCAGCCAAGUCGCGUGAGGGAUGAAGGUUCUAUGGAUCGUAAACCUCUUUUAUAAGGGAAUAAAGUGCGGGACGUGUCCCGUUUUGUAUGUACCUUAUGAAUAAGGAUCGGCUAACUCCGUGCCAGCAGCCGCGGUAAUACGGAGGAUCCGAGCGUUAUCCGGAUUUAUUGGGUGUAAAGGGUGCGUAGGCGGCCUUUUAAGUCAGCGGUGAAAUUCUGUGGCUCAACCAUAGAAUUGUCGUUGAAACUGGGAGGCUUGAGUAUGUUAGAGGCUGGCGGAAUGCGUGGUGUAGCGGUGAAAUGCUUAGAUAUCACGCAGAACCCCGAUUGCGAAGGCAGCCUGCCAAGCCAUGACUGACGCUGAUGCACGAAAGCGUGGGGAUCAAACAGGAUUAGAUACCCCUGUAGUC
rnacentral:rRNA from 1 species